AGAACCCAUCUGAGAAAGUUACAGAAGGCAUCUCCGAUUCACAACACGCCCCCCGCCAACCCCCCACUGAAUAACACGUCGUCUGGCAACAGGAGGCGUUUGAUUACAUUUGGAUGGAACGCCUGCAUCAACUCCAGUUGUCCCCGAAUUGGAACUGCUGGGCCUCACGUGCUGCAGCCAACAGUUUGCCUUCACCCACUCCCCUCUCCGAAAUGAACCUUUCUCUGGGAAAACAAGAAACCUACGUGCCAUCCUGGGUGAGAGACGAACAAUGGCUGCGUCCCAGCAUCGCAUCCCAAGCGUGACAGGCAAGAGCACACUGAGGGGUUUCCAACAAUGAGCCACGCUUCAAGCAUCUCUGGAGAUGCCCUCUGAACCAGAGGACCCAAAUGUUCUCCCCGGAGCCCUGCGGUCUCUGUGUUUAAUUCA
rnacentral:lncRNA from 1 species